rnacentral:rRNA from 1 species
GAUGAACGCUGGCGGCGUGCUUAACACAUGCAAGUCGAACGAUGAAGCUAGAGCUUGCUCUGGUGGAUUAGUGGCGAACGGGUGAGUAACACGUGAGUAACCUGCCCCGAACUCUGGGAUAACUGCCGGAAACGGUAGCUAAUACUGGAUACGACCAACGAAGGCAUCUUCUGUUGGUGGAAAGAAUUUCGGUUCGGGAUGGACUCGCGGCCUAUCAGCUUGUUGGUGAGGUAACGGCUCACCAAGGCGACGACGGGUAGCCGGCCUGAGAGGGUGAUCGGCCACACUGGGACUGAGACCGUGCCCGGACUCCUACGGGAGGCAGCAGUGGGGAAUAUUGCACAAUGGGCGCAAGCCUGAUGCAGCAACGCCGCGUGAGGGAUGACGGCCUUCGGGUUGUAAACCUCUUUUAGUAGGGAAGAAGCGAAAGUGACGGUACCUGCAGAAAAAGCACCGGCUAACUACGUGCCAGCCGCCGCCGUAA